GAUGAACGCUGGCGGCGUGCCUAAUACAUGCAAGUCGAGCGAACAGACGAGGAGCUUGCUCCUCUGACGUUAGCGGCGGACGGGUGAGUAACCCGUGGAUAACCUACCUAUAAGACUGGGAUCACUUCGGGAAACCGGAGCUAAUAUCGGAUAAUAUUUUGAACCGCAUGGUUCAAUAGUGAAAGACGGUUUUGUUGUCACUUAUAGAUGGAUCCGCGCCGCAUUAGCUAGUUGGUAAGGUAACGGAGUACCAAGGCGACGAUGCGUAGCCGACCUGAGAGGGUGAUCGGCCACACUGGAACUGAGACACGGUCCCGACUACUACGGAAGGCAGCAGUAGGGAAUCUUCCGCAAUGGGCGAAAGCCUGACGGGGCAACGCCGCGUGAGUGAUGAAGGUCUUCGGAUCGUAAAACUCUGUUAUUAGGGAAGAACAAAUGUGUAAGUAACUAUGCACGUCUUGACGGUACCUAAUCAGAAAGCCACGGCUAACUACGUG
rnacentral:rRNA from 1 species